rnacentral:rRNA from 1 species
UCAAUACUAGUCCGACCGGACUUUGGUAUGACGCUACGUCCGCUGGAUUAUGCCUGAACGCCUCUAAGGUCGUAUCCAAUCCGAGCUGAUAGCGCUUCUCAAACCCAUUAGGUGUUCGGAAGCUAGCGGGCCUAACAACCCUCUGAGAUCCGUUGGAGUCUGCGUCUGCAGCCCGGCGUCUCAUCCCGCUAUACCUAGGCCGCAACGAGUGGAGUUCGCUGCACGUGUUAGUACCGUAACUGGGAACGCCGUUGGCUUGAGCUCUGCCCAACGUGGAUAUACCUAGUUUCGACACCUAUCAACCGCCCGCAAACGACGGGACUUCAGGCUGGGAGCUGCGAGUUGUAGAGAUGCGUUCGCAUCGAUCCUCUCAGGCGACCCAUGCUUGGUGGUU